UUCCAUGUAACUUUGGGACCUGCCAUCUGUGGCAGUCUCCCUUCCUGGCCACAGAAGAACAUUUUCUUGUUUUAUUGGCAAAGCGGUCACCAUUUAAUUGGUAUCAGAUUCUGACUUGCACAAGUAACAUUC
rnacentral:snoRNA from 1 species